rnacentral:rRNA from 1 species
AUUCCUACGGGAGGCAGCAGUAGGGAAUCUUACACAAUGGGCGAAAGCCUGAUGCAGCCAUGCCGCGUGAGUGAAGAAGGCCUUAGGGUUGUAAAACUCUUUCGCUAGGGAAGAUAAUGACGGUACCUAGUAAAGAAGCCCCGGCUAACUCCGUGCCAGCAGCCGCGGUAAUACGGAGGGGGCUAGCAUUGUUCGGAAUUACUGGGCGUAAAGCGCGCGUAGGCGGAUUGACAAGUUGGGGGUGAAAUCCCGGGGCUCAACCCCGGAACUGCCUUCAAAACUGUCUGUCUAGAGUUCGAGAGAGGUGAGUGGAAUUCCUAGUGUAGAGGUGAAAUUCGUAGAUAUUAGGAAGAACACCAGUGGCGAAGGCGGCUCACUGGCUCGAUACUGACGCUGAGGUGCGAAAGCGUGGGGAGCGAACAGGAUUAGAUACCCUGGUAGUCCACGCCGUAAACGAUGUCAACUAGACGUUGGGUUCAUUAAGGAACUUAGUGUCGAAGCUAACGCGUUAAGUUGACCGCCUGGGGAGUACGGCCGCAAGGUUGAAACUCAAAGGAAUUGACGGAAU